rnacentral:rRNA from 1 species
UACGUAGGCAGCGAGCGUUGUUCGGAGUUACUGGGCGUAAAGAGUGCGUAGGCGGUUUUCUAAGUUUGGUGUGAAAUCUCCCGGCUUAACUGGGAGGGUGCGCCGAAGACUGGAAGGCUUGAGUAUGGGAGAGGUAAGCGGAAUUCCAGGUGUAGCGGUGAAAUGCGUAGAUAUCUGGAGGAACACCGGUGGCGAAGGCGGCGUUCUGGACUGUUUCCGACACUGUAAAACGAAAGCCAGGGGAGCAAACGGG